rnacentral:rRNA from 1 species
CAGUCGCCGCGGGAAUACGUAGGGUGCAAGCGUUAAUCGGAAUUACUGGGCGUAAAGCGUGCGCAGGCGGUCCGUUAAGACAGAUGUGAAAUCCCCGGGCUUAACCUGGGAACUGCAUUUGUGACUGGCGGGCUAGAGUAUGGCAGAGGGGGGUAGAAUUCCACGUGUAGCAGUGAAAUGCGUAGAGAUGUGGAGGAAUACCGAUGGCGAAGGCAGCCCCCUGGGCCAAUACUGACGCUCAUGUACGAAAGCGUGGGGAGCAAACAGGAUUAGAUACCCCUGUAGUCCCUGUCUCUUAUAC